AGUAGAAUCACUGGGUCAUGUGGUAACUUGUGUUUAGCUUUUUGAGGAACUGUCAGACUGUUUACCAAAGCGACUGCACCAUUUUAUAUUCCCACCAGCAAU
rnacentral:pre_miRNA from 1 species